rnacentral:rRNA from 1 species
UACAGAGGGGGCAAGCGUUGCUCGGAAUCACUGGGCGUAAAGGGCGCGUAGGCGGCCAUUCAAGUCGGGGGUGAAAGCCCAGGGCUCAACCCUGGAAUUGCCUUCGAUACUGUUUGGCUAGAGACCGGAAGAGGUUAGUGGAACUGCGAGUGUAGAGGUGAAAUUCGUAGAUAUUCGCAAGAACACCAGUGGCGAAGGCGGCUAACUGGUCCGGUUCUGACGCUGAGGCGCGAAAGCGUGGGGAGCAAACAGG